UGUGUUUUAGUGUAUUGAUGCACUAUGAUUUUUGAUUUCAUCUGUUAAGGUUUAAUUCCUUUAAACACAA
rnacentral:tRNA from 1 species